rnacentral:tRNA from 1 species
UCCGUUGUCGUCCAACGGUUAGGAUAUCUGGCUUUCACCCAAGAGACCCAGGUACGAUCCCCGGCAACGGCG